CCAAAUAAUUCAUUUAAAUUUUUGUUUUUCAUAUUUAAAUUAUUUUGAAGCAUUUCAUAUUUAAAUUGUGAGGUUAUUUAAAAUUUUAGUCUAUGUCAUGAAUUAUCUAAUCGCGCCCCUAGUUAGAUGUGACUUUGAACUAUAAAUUAUAUCUAUAGAAAUAGAAAUUUAUUUUUCCAAAUAUUCUUUUAAUAUGAAUUUGGGCCUUAGAUAAAAUAUUUAUAUAAUUUUACGUGUUGGGCCUGAUUGAAUUCAACAUGAUUCUUCAGAUCCAUAAAUAUUUUCAUAUAUCAUCUCACAAAUUUAUUGAUACUCCAGCCACGUAAUAUGUCCAUACACGUUUCAUUUCCAGAAUUUAUUUAGCAUAUAUUUUUGCUAUUUGACUUUAUCCAGCCCAUUUUUUUCUAUGAGAUUAGCCAAAUCAAAUUCAGCUUCAAACUCCCAUUAUUCAUUCAACGCUUUCACCAUUUCACUUUCCGUAAGAUUUGAUUUUUUUCUUCACAGGCAGCAAAUUUUUGAUUUCUUUCACAUUCAAAUCUUUGACGAAAUCAAUCUAUUUAAACCUCAAUUCCUCAUCCCCAACUCACCUCUUCAUCUGUUCAUUUAACUAAAAUCUGCAGAUUCUCCCUACGAAUCCCAGCUGGUGCGGCGCGAUUAGGACGUGAACUUUAAAUUAUCGCAGUUAACUUUCAAAGCUCAAGUUACAGGUGUGGGAUUUAUUUCAGUACAUGCACGUGGUUAAUAUUUGUCCAUUUUAAUAUUAUGUGUUUACCGUAUGUGUUGUAAAAAUAUUUAUCGCUAGGGGCCAGCAUAAUUGGUCCAGGACUUCACCGUCCUUGGUAUGCCACAAUGCGAUUUCAUGUUACAGGGUUGCAACCAUUAUAUUGUCGCCAGGGGCCCAUAUAUAGGGUCCGGGACAUUAAAGUCCUUGGAUUGCCACAGUGCGUAUGGAAUUUAUGUUACGUUAUGACAAUAUGUGUUACCAUUUUAUUAACAUGGACAACUAUUGCAUGUUUCCACACUGAGUGUACCAUGUAUGCUCAUCCCAUAUUCAACAGUUUCAGGUGAAUGAUAUUGGAGGCGUGGAGAGUCGAAUGGGCGCGUCGCAUCUAUUUAAAAAUAAAUGUUUCUUAAAACAUAUUAUGUUAUUUCAUGUGAUAUCUUUUGGAUAUGUAAACUCUGAAAUUCUAUACUAUUUGAGAUUUGUGUGUGAUUUGUUUAAAUAAAUGUUGUUAUAUUAUUUUAA